rnacentral:misc_RNA from 1 species
AUCAAAAUACAAGCCUAUCAUUGCACGUUCUGAUAAGAGUUCAGUUUGCAUUGACUUCCGUUAAAUUGAUAUCUUAAGCAGCCCUAUGAUCUGCGCAGGUUACUUGUAGUGAGGCAACGGUUGAUGCAAUACGCGAAUCAGGAUGACGAAGCCGACUAUUCUCUCUGCGACCAUGCUAGUUUUCUUGGUAACCGAUGGUUACUGCUGGAACGGCAAUGAGAACGCUUUGCGGUUUGAAAAUAAUCCCCACUUCACGUUCCAAGGCUGCAUACUUCGUUGCUUGGACAAAGACCUGUGUUGCUCAUGUAAGGAAUCUGCCAAACUGUCGAUGAAUGCAGCGAUGAUAAACGAUUGCAGUAAAACCUGUGCUGCCUCAGACGACGAUGUGAAAUGUUCUACUAGAUGGGUCGAUUCCUGGAUAAAUGUUGAUCGAUCUGAAGAGUAUCAUCCUCUUGUCCGAGUCGGUUCAUCUUUAUCUGAUCCAUUUCGGACAGAUCCGGGUAUGUUUACAAGACACAUUUUGGACAGGUCUUGGUACGUUUAUUGAAUAAUUCGACAUCA